GAGCGGCUUAGGACGCCCGACUGGGUCAAGGAGGAGUUCAACGCUCUUUGGAUUUAUGUCGUUUCUGUCGUCUCGAUCCGUGUUUCAACAGAUGGGCAUGAGAACUGUUUGUUUUCUGCUGUAUUCAGAUGGAAUUGGCCAGCAGAAACUUUAUUGGGGUGUACUGAGGGACACAGGCAUAUGGCAUUAAUGGAUGGAACAAACAAAACAUGAGACAGGAAAUAAAAUAAGGUUUGCUUGCAGGCUGGAUGUGGCUCUGGGCAGCCCGGUCUGGUGGUUGACAACCCUGCAAUAUAGCAGGAGGGUUGGAAAUAAAUGAUCAUUGUAGUCAUUUUCAACCCAGGCCACUCUAUGAUUCCAUGAGUUUCAUAAAGAACCUCCACCUCUUUGAACAGUAAGAUUUGGGUGAGCAGAAAUCAGACAACAAUUGACUCAAGUCACAGAUUAACAGCGUGGCUUCAUGCUGUGAGUUCCGGCAUCUCAGAGGUGCUGAACAGGAGGAACCCAGUGAAGGUGGUAUCAUCAUCAGCAUCUGCAAACAGCCCGUUGAAGCUCUCUCCUCGGUGAGCCUGCAGCCACACCUCAUCUCCUGCCCGUAGCUGAAGGAUGGCAGCUCCCGACGCCUGGUCCUCAGCACCCUGGUAUCCAUCCAUGGUGUGCAACAUCUUGAUCCCGUUUUUGACUAGAGCUACUCGGACAUUCCUCGAGUAGACAGUGAUAUGGUCUUAUCUCAUAUCUCCAUCCUCAAACCAGAAGGUGAUGGAAGCCUGAGAUGUUUUCUGAGGGCUAGCUGGACUGAUCUAUUAAUGCAGGGUGCCAGGCAUCUUUGGGAAACUAAUAGCAAACUAUUUUGUACUUCCAACUCUCUGUGUUGAGCACAGUACCUGUGUCUCCCUUGUCGCCUUUUGAGCCAUCACGUCCAUCACGACCAGGUCUCUAUAUAGCAGUAAAUACCAUCCUUGACACUACUGGGCUUUAUUUCCAAUAAUAAUUGAAUGGGAAUAUCAGACAUACCUUUGUCGUAUAGGUUCUGUCUCGUAUUUUCUUAUACAGUGUGACCAGUGGAAGUAACUCUGCAAGGACUGUCCGUAGAGAUACUGAUGCAGGUAGAUGGUGAGCAGCUGAAAAUCACCAAAGCUCUGGGGAAGCUGAGGGCUACCCCUCAUGUCCUCGGGAUCUAGCCAGCAACCAACAGCUCAAUACCUCCCACUGGGUUUCCCACUGUUCUGUUUAAACCAUCAGAGUACUGACAAAGCAUAGAUUUUGUGAAUAUGGUUGAUCUUAAACUGUAUUUCAAGAUCAUAAGAAAAAAGCAGAAUUGAUCAUCACACUUCCAGUGAUUUGAUUUACUCUGACCAACAAAACUCCAAUGUCUGGAAAGUCCACAAGGAAAUGUGCUGUAGUUGCUGUCCUAAGCCCUAGGGCACAGGCAAGAUUUCAAGCCCUGGGGGGUUGAUUCAAGUAAGAGUAGUGACCCUACACUCAUACACAAGGAUUCAUACAACGUCCUGUUCCUUUAAGCUGCUGUUCAGCUUAUAUAUAACACACAGGCACUCUUUGUCGUAAUUUCUACAUUCCCCUAGCCAGAGCAGCACUCACACAGGAGCUGCUUCAUGGCUGCUGCUGCCUGACAGAAGCCUGUCUACAGCGUCAAGCUCACUCCCUCCUUUCUGAAAGGCUUGAUAAAAACAGUACCCUACCCAUUUGAAGUCAACAUACCUCUUCUCUCGGGGCUCCAGAUCAGAUAAUGUUGGCCAUUAAUAACCCAGUAUUUAUCUAACAGCUUCUUAAGGGAAAAAUAAUGUAACUGAGCCAGUCAGGCAGUUUGCAACUGAGAAAAAACAGGGCUUCUCCAUCUACAUUUCUUCAUGACGCCUCAUGGCUACAAGUCUGUACCUCUCGUCUCCCACGAGCUCCCACGAGGAGGUGAGCUAAGGUGAUUCAGUCCCUUAACUUCGCACAAAACAAUAGCAUUUGUUGCUGUUGUUGUUUCUUCUCUUUUAUCACAGUUAGUCUUUUUCUGGGUUAAUAAGUUGAAUGACCUCACAAAGGGUCAGAGCUGAAGCAGAGUGAGAUGAGGACAAAGAUGUGAGGAAUCAAAUAAGAAUUUUUUUGCAAAAGCAGAUCUUUAGUCUAGUUCUCCCCCUCUCAUUUAACUGUGCUUCACAAAAUCCAGCUUAUUUUCAUGCUUUCAUUAGGGAGCCCUUGCUGUUUUAUGGCUUUGAGGAGAGGUCCACUGAACAGGAAUUGAACUUGCCAAUUACUCUUUAUAAGAGUAAUCAGUGAGAAGAUGUUAAAAAGAGGGACAAAAAUGAAAUAGCAUUCAAUAGAAUGCAUGCAAUAGAAAUGAAUUGCAAAAAUUAGUUGCAACAAAAUUAGUAUUUUAUUUGAUGCUAUUAUCUUUAAAUAAUUAAUGCACAGAAGCAUAGCCUAUGGAGGUUAAUGGUGGUCAGAAUAAGUACAUUUUAUGUAAUUGACUUUAAAUUAUUUCUUUCAUGAAUAAGAAUGUAAGGCUAAGAUCAGUUUCCUUUUGAAAUACUAACUAGGAUAGUGACAUUUCAAGUGACCAUGUCAGAGAGACACCAGUAUAUAUUCUCUUUAACAACAAUUGCACCUUGGUAGGAAUAUUCAAUGUAAACAUUCAUUCAGUUUAUAGGGUAGGAUAGCCCCACAUUUCUAACACAUCCUUUAGUAUUUCCUCCUGUUUUCCAAAAUAUUCCCAGUUUUGCAGCAGUUAUGUAAAUGUUGUUGGCAGUGCCUUUGCCAGCAGCAUACAAAGUGGUGUUUGGUCACACACCAGCAAAAUCUCUCUUCAUCUGCUGCUGGUUUGUACCAAAGGGAGUUGAAAAUACGUCAAACUUCUGCUAUUUCCGAACUAUAAACAUUUGCUGCCUUAGUCAAAGAAGUCUACAGGAAAGUGAAAGGAAGAAGUGCUGUACGGGAUGCUGUUAACAUAUGAAUUACCCCAUGGGGAAGUCUGACAGUCCUUGUCCUCCCACAGAAAAUUCCAUUCCAGUUGUUCAAGGUAUUCUUUUGUGCCUAAGCAUUUCAUCCCCUUACACGCACUUCUCAGCACACAACAGCAAUAUCAUCAUCAGCAGCAGCAGUGUAUAUAUCGUAUCUUUGCUCUUACCUCAUUCACUUUGUACUUGCCAUGUUCUUGGGCAUCUUUCAGUAUUACAUAAAAGCUUCCCGUAAGGGAAUGCAGGCUCCAGAUAUGUGCCUUGAGGACAAGCACUUGUUUGGUCACUGAAUUCUCAAAGGUCAGUGAUUUCAUUUUGAGAGCUGUUCAAUAAUUAAAACAGAGCUAAACUGGAAUCUCUCUGUUAAUUCCAAUAGUAAGCUGAAGUGCUCUGUACUUCAGCUUUUGCCAUGGUUAUGUGAAAUAAAAUUGUUAGGAUGAAUCAAUAAAGCUUUGAUAUGCCUCUUCCAUUAUACAAAUGUGUUAUUUAAGUUUGUAGGACAGAACACAGGUCCCAUGGCUUUAUUUUAGCAAAGGAAACUUACAAAGGUCAGUUAGCAGUUUAUGAUGGAAGUGGGGACAAAAAGAAUAUAGAAAUUACAACAAAAUUAAAACCGUGAAUGUGACAUCACCAAUGUCAGGUGAUUAUGGAAAAGAAGUAA